CCUACGGGUGGCAGCAGUGGGGAAUAUUGGUCAAUGGGCGCAAGCCUGACCCAGCAACGCCGCGUGAAGGAAGAAGGCUUUCGGGUUGUUAACUUCUUUUAUCAGGGGCGAAGCAAGUUACGGUACCUGAUUAAUAAGCCACGGCUAACUAGGUGGCAGCAGCCGCGUCAAUACGUAGGUGGCAAGGGUUAUCCGGAUUACUGGGGGUAAAGGGCUUGUAGGGGGGAGUGCAAGUCAGAUGUGAAAACUAUGGGCGCAAACCAUAGCCUGCAGUUGAAACUGUACUUCUUGAGUGCUGGAGAGGUAAGCGGAAUGCGGGGGGUAGCGGUGAAAUGCGUAGAUAUAAGGAAGAACACCAGUGGCGAAGACGGAUUGCUGGACAGUAACUGACGCUGAGGCGCGAAAGCGUGGGGAGCAAACAGGAUUAGAUACCCGGGUAGUC
rnacentral:rRNA from 1 species